GGUCUUGUGGUCUAGUGGUAUGAUUCUCGCUUAGGGUUCACUCUAAGUCAUCUCAUUGAUAUGCGAGAGGCCCCGCGUUCGAGUCGCGGCAAGACCC